CAGAAGUUUGUUUCCUACGAGAUACAUGAGUUCAAAAUUAACUGUUGAAGAAUCUCUAUAUUUUCUAUAUUGUCUUUGCAAAUUUACACCUAGCUAGAGUAGUUAAGGGCUCCAUUUUUUCUACAUGCUGGCCAAUGCUGGAGCAGUUGCCGAUCUGAUAGUAGCCAUCAUGACAGGUGUGAAGAGAUAUGUCACUGUGUCUAUCUGAAGUCAGUUACUUGAAGUGAGUGUAUUGUUAAUUGUUGAGUGAAAACCAGUGCACAAUUACUGAAGAAAAUACUACAGUCUUUAUAGGAAAUUAUCUAUCUACAACUGGUAAACAUUCACUCUUAGAAAGGGUGAAGUUAAGUCAAGAAUUGUCUGUUGUUCUUAACUUCUUUGUAGAGUCAAUUGAUUGGAAGAUAGGAAAAUUUGGUGUGGAAUUGAACAAUGUACAUCACAUGCACAUAUGCAAUUUUCAGUCAAUAAAAAGAAAUGGAUUUGUAAUAAGAACCCAAAUAUAGGAAAAAUGAUUUGUAUGACAUUUUCCUUAAUUUGUAAAACUUUAUAAAGGAGAAAAGAAAAAUUCUUGCAGUGUAUAUUAUAAUAGUAUAUAUAUACAGGAUAUAAAUCAAAAUAAAAAAGAUAAGGUUGGGUAAGAUAUAACUAAACAUAAUUGUAAUAUUUCUCAUGAGUAUAUAAAUGGAAGUAAAAGAAAGUGCUAUAGUUGCCUUUGGUAGAUUCAUAUUCUAGAGAGAAUUCUAGGCAUUUUUAACAGGAAUAAGGGUUUUGUCUAGCACAAUGACUUCAUCAUGAGACAGUGGAAAGGUGUGAAAGCCUAGAAUAGCAAAAGCAAUAUCAGAAGCUCAGGCCUGCACCUGCUCCUGUGCUGUCGCAGAGUUUGAAUCAUUCAGAUUUAGGAUUAGAAGAUGUCACAAGACCGAGGCCAGCAUGGUUGGGAAACAUUCGGGUUUUCUCAGGCCACAUUAGACUGAAUAAAUCAUCCUAGAAAUUUCUAAAGAAUUAUGGCCAGAGGUAAAACCAGGAAAAGUGUCUUUUUUAUCUUUUCUCUCAUAUUUUACAUCCUGAUUUACAGUUUCCUACCCCUCCAUUCCUCUCAGUCCCCCCCCCCCUUCCCUCUUUUCUUGCCCAGAUCCACUCCCUCCUCUGCAUCCCUUUAAAAAAAUAAAAAGAACAGACCUCCUAGGGACAUCAAACAAACAUGACAUGAAAUGCUACAAUAAGGUUAGGCACCUCCCCUUUUAAAUGCUUGAUUACCCUUCCUCUAGCUAGAGUUUGGCUGUGGGUCUCUGCAUUUGCUGGCAUUAGUUUCUGGAUGACAAUACUUGAUAAUAAAAAACAAAAACAGAAAGAAAAUGAACUACCUGAUAAUGACCCUAACCAUGGUGAUAAAAGAACUCUACCAAAAGAAUUUAUCUGUGAAGAGGGAAUUUAGGAAAGACACUAGGAAUUAGAAAGAUGUUCCAUGUUGAUGUUUUGGUAGAAUGACUUAAUAUCGUGAAAUGACUAUUCUACCAAAAAUGCUUUAUAUAUUCAGUGUAACUCCAAUUAAGCUCCCUAUCUCAUUCUCCACAAAAAUAGAAAAAAAUAUUUAAAAAUCUAAAAAUUUACAUCGAACUCCCAAAUAUUCCAAAUAGCCAAAUAAAUCCC
rnacentral:lncRNA from 1 species